ACCUGGCUGGCUCAGCUGGUAGAGCAUGCGACUCUUGAUCUCGGGGUUGUGAGUUCAAGUCUCACAUUAGGUA
rnacentral:tRNA from 1 species